CUUUUUUUUCACUCUGUCUCUUUUGUCCUUUUCCUUUUCUUUCUCUUUCUUCUUCUCUUUUGUCCUUCUUUUCUUUCUCUUUCUCUUUCUUCUCUUUUAUCCUUCUUCUUUGCUUUCUUUUCUCCCCUUUUUUCUUCUCUUCCCCCUCCCUCCCCUCUCCCCCUUUCCCCCUCCCCUCCCCUCCCCCUUCCCUCAUUCUCCCUUCCUCUUCCCUUAACCAUACCCAUGUUCUGCCAGAAGUUAUGUGGGGUCCCUUUGAGUCAAAAAGGGAGCAACUAAUGCAGAGACCUUCUUCCCAAAAUACCAUCUGAUUUCUGUGGUCACUAGUAGGUGAAAGUGGAUGUGGCUCUUAAUAAGACAUGCCGCCUCACCACAGGAUGCCUACACCCUACACCACUGGAGAAACUAUUGUGUUUAGCCGGUAUUGCACCACCUGACAUCAACUUCGAAUAUCAACCAGCACGCCAAUGCCUUACAUCAAAAAAUAGCUUUCUAAGAUCUACAAAGAUACUCGCAGGAAGACCUCAGCAAGUGAGAGUCCAAAAGUGGCAGGCUAAAACCCGGAAACUCAAUCCAUGGCUAAGAGCGGAUGAGAGACUCCCCCCUGAGCACACAGAAGAUUGGGCAACAUGGAAGGCACUGAAUAGACUACCAUCGGAAGCCCCUGGUGCAAAUCCCACUCUCAGAGUCAGAGGAAGGCAAAGAUGGCAGCCUCCCUCUUCAGGAGCCUCCCAGCAUGGCCCCCGUUCUUCUCUUUCUCCACAACCGUCUUCCCAGGACCCCCACACCCCAACAGACCCCCUCCCUCCCCCUCCCCUCCCUCCCUCCCCCUCCCUCCCUCUGAUGUCACAAUGUCUCCCCAGGCGAUUGGACGGUUGCUGCCUCUGGGGCUCUUCCAGCUUCCUCUGGCCUCAUUCUGCCCUCGUCCUCCGCUCAUCGCUGCCCUGCCCUUAGCCUGUCCUUGCCUCCCAUUGCGAUUCUAGUAUUUGUGUUUAGUUUUGGUUUAUUGGUUUGUUGUUGUUGUAUUUGUUGUAGUUGUUGUUGUUGUUGUGGUAUUUGAUAUUUGUUCUCAUUAUUGGUUUGUUUGUGUAUUGUUAGACUGUUAAUUGUUUUUGUUAUUGAGUGUGUUUUUUUGAAUAUAUUUAUUUGUAGUAUUUGUUAGAGUUUAGAAUCUUAAUUAUUUAGCUUUUUUCUCAAAUAUAGUAUACAUUUAUUUUAUUUUAUUUUAUUUAUUGGUUUGUAUUCUUUUUAUUUUAUUUAUUUUAUUUGCCGUAUUUUCUUUUAUUAUUUAUUAUUUGGCUGUUUUUGUUU
rnacentral:lncRNA from 11 species